UUGUGAUGGAGGUGAAAACUAACCCCGAAAAGUUUUUUAAAUUUCCUGCUCCUCACAUGGCAGUGGUCACUGAAGGGUUAACACCCAUUGACAUGUGAGGACAGGAAGUAGGAAGCAAAUAAACCCCCCCCCCACCCUGUCUUUUUUUAUCCCAUUGAAGUGAUGAAUUAUGAAGAUGUAACCCAGCAGCCUCCUCCUCCUUCUGCUCAAGUCCUGGUGAAACGCUGAUUUCCAACCUUUCCGAGGAGCCCUCGGUGACCGGGGCAUUUGUUGCGUGACACCCCCAGGCUGUAAGACUUCGGAGGCUUGCUUUACUGCGCCCGGGAACUUGUAAAGAGAAAUGCUGCGCCUGAGCUGAACGCUAUGAGUUCCAAUAGAAGGUCACGCUCUACUCACAGGGGGGACUCUAGAGACGACUGUGACCAGGAGGAGCACAGAAGGAAAAUCCCUAAGAGACAAUGUGAAGCUUGCCGUAACUAUGCAGUAACUAUGCCGUAACUAUGCCUUGGAACACAAAAGACUCUGCCGUGACUGCUUAUCCAAUGCAGCUGGGCCCAGCACUUCAGACCAAAUCUCCCAUCUCAUGGAUUGGAUGCAGACAUCUUUUGUAGACUCUAUGGCAUCUGCCAUUUCCAAAGGCACGGAGAAGGCUGUCAGAAGUAUGUCACUCAGCGCUCCAGUUAAAACCUCUAAAAUUCCAGCCUUCCCAUCUGAUUCGGAAGAAUUUGGAGAAUACCUAUCAGGGGAUAGCGAUAGCCUAACAGACGUGUCCUCAGAUAAAGGCUCAGAAUCCAACUUUGAUCUAGAGAAAGUUGAACCAGUUAUAUUGGCCCUUAGGAAAAUCUUGGAAUUGGAUUCGGCAGAUGGUUCCUCCACCAACCAUGACAAAAUGUUCAAAUGUCGGAAGAAGACAAAUCAUUUGUUACCCAUUCACAAGGUAAUUAAAGAAGAAAUUAAGACAGAAUGGGAACAACCA